AUUUAAAAUGAAAGUCGCAUGGAUGACAUGUAAACAAAUAGAGAAACACGCCAAAUUUAGGAAAAUAUGAAAUUUGAUUGUAAAACGCUGAUGGAAAGUUAGUGCAAUGUGUGAUAUUGAGGAGAACGAAACACAAAAUAACGACUCAGGUAGUCGAAACAAAGACAAAUCUAAGAAUGAAAGUCCAGCCACUAUGAUCAAAGAGAAAUCUGAGGAUGAAAUCCUGGAAGUGAAGUCCUCGAGUGAUUGUAAUGGGGUCACGAGGGACCAGUUUGACGCACCUGACAAAACAGUGGCAACUGAACUGAAGCGGUUACCGAGAUCACAGAAAAAAAGAUUAAAACAAGAAUUAGCCAUGCAAAGAAAAAAAGAGAUGAGGAAAGAAAAAAGACAGUUACAAAAGCUGAAAAUGAAAGAAAAGGCAAAGAAAGAGAAAAAGGAAGCUAUGGUUCAACCUACUAGGAAAGAGUUGAGAGAAGAAAUAAAGUCUAAGCUCGAGGCGGCCAUGAUUUGUGGUCAAAGAAUUUGCAUUGACCUGAGCAUGGAAAACACUAUGACAUCAAAGGUGAAUUCUGGUGACACUUUGAAGCUUUAGUUUUGUAAUGAUCAAGUGUGAUAUGUACGGUAUUUUCCAUAUUUUGUUUUUAUGGAUAGAAAUUCACGAAAUCCGCACAGCCAUAUAUACCGGUAGUCCUAUACAGGUAUUAGGCAUUAUAUUUAUUUAUUAUAUGUUGGAAUAUGAAAUAAUUAAAAAUUUAUAGUAUGAAAGUUACAGAUUGUUUAUUGUUACAAACUGACAAUUUGUGUGUGUUUUUUUAGAAUAAUUCUUUAUAAUUUAAAUGGCAGGAAAAGAAUAAACUGGCCCAGCAGCUUUGCCGAUUGUACGGGGUAAACAAAAAGGCAGACACACCAGCUCAUGUUUAUUUUGCCGGAUUUGACAAAAACGGAGAGUUAUACCAGGAAUGCAUUCAGAAGAUUGAUGGUUUUGAGAAGUAUCAGGUGGAAAUGACAGAGGUUCCAGUUUUGGAGCUGUUUGACACUAAUGACAUCAUCUACCUCACUCCUGAUGCAACUGAUAUGUUAGAAGAAUUAGACAAAGACAAAGUCUAUGUUAUAGGUGGAAUAGUGGAUGAAAGUGUCAUUAAGAACCUGAGUAAACAGAGAGCGGACGCCGCCAACAUCCCCACCUACCGUCUCCCAAUAGACCGCUACAUGAGGAGGAAAGACCAGAUUCAUUUCUCGCAAAUUCUCGCCAUCAAUCAGGUGUUUGAGAUAUUGGUGACCUAUCUUUCUUCCAAAAACUGGAGAGCAGCACUUAGUCGAGGCGUGCCGGAGAGGAAGGGGUAUGUUCUAAAGGACUGACUCGGACCGUGGCAAGGUACCCUACACACAAGUUGAGGGGUCAGCAAGGAGAUGUCAGAACCGCUUUAGUAUUUAACAAAACCUGACAUAAACACUAUAGAUUAAGCCCUGCUUCUUCAUAAGCUGUAAUAUGAAGAAAAUAUCUGUUUAUAUAAGAUAUGUGCUGUAUUUUACUUAAAAACAAUCAUACUUUACUGCUUAUGUUUGUAAAUAUCAGCGUGAUCCGUGGAUUGUUGUCGAAAGUGUCUUUGGUAAACUAGAUAAAACGG
rnacentral:misc_RNA from 1 species